rnacentral:tRNA from 1 species
GCGGGCGUGGCUGAAUUGGUAGACACGCUAGACUUAGGAUCUAGUGCCGCAAGGUGUGAGAGUUCGAGUCUCUCCGCCCGCACAA